AUAUCAAUAAGCGGAGGAAAAGAAACUAACAAGGAUUCCCCUAGUAACUGCGAGUGAAGCGGGAAAAGCUCAAAUUUAAAAUCUGGUGGUCUUUGGCCAUCCGAGUUGUAAUUUAGAGAAGCGUCUUCCGCGCUGGACCGUGCACAAGUCUCCUGGAACGGAGCGUCAUAGAGGGUGAGAAUCCCGUCUUUGGCACGGAGCGACCAGGGCUUUUGUGAUGCGCUCUCGAAGAGUCGAGUUGUUUGGGAAUGCAGCUCAAACUGGGUGGUGAACUCCAUCUAAAGCUAAAUAUUGGCGAGAGACCGAUAGCGAACAAGUACCGUGAGGGAAAGAUGAAAAGCACUUUGGAAAGAGAGUGAAACAGUACGUGAAAUUGUUGAAAGGGAAACGCUUGAAGUCAGUCGCGUCGACCGAGACUCAGCCUUGCCUUGGCUUGGUGGACUUCUCGGCCGACGGGUCAGCAUGGAUUUUGACCGUUGGAUAAUGGCGAGGGAAACGUGAUACCUUUAGGUGUGUUAUAGUCUCUCGUCGCAUGCAAGGGUCGGGAUCGAGGAACUCAGCACGCGCCUUUGGGCGUCGGGGCUUUGCCCACGAUACGUGCUUAGGAUGUUGGCGUAAUGGCUUUAAACGACCCGUCUUGAAACACGGACCAAGGAGUCUAACAUGCCCGCGAGUGUUCGGGUGGAAAACCCGUGCGCGCAAUGAAAGUGAAAGUUGGGACCUCCGUCGUGGAGGGCACCGACGCCCGGACCAGACCUUCUGUGACGGCUCUGCGGUAGAGCGUGUAUGUUAGGACCCGAAAGAUGGUGAACUAUGCCUGAAUAGGGUGAAGCCAGAGGAAACUCUGGUGGAGGCUCGUAGCGAUUCUGACGUGCAAAUCGAUCGUCAAAUUUGGGUAUAGGGGCGAAAGACUAAUCGAACCAUCUAGUAGCUGG
rnacentral:rRNA from 1 species